GCCAGGCAUGGUGGCUCAUGCCUGUAAUCCCAGCAACUCUCAGAGCUGAGGCAGGAGGAUUGCAAGUUCAAAGCCAGUCUCAGCAGAUUAGUGAGGCACUGAGCAAUUCAGCAAGACCCUGUCUCUA
rnacentral:sRNA from 1 species